AGGGUUCGAUUCUGGCUCAGGAUGAACGCUGGCGGCGUGCUUAACACAUGCAAGUCGAACGGGAUCCCAGGAGCUUGCUCCUGGGUGAGAGUGGCGAACGGGUGAGUAAUGCGUGACCGACCUGCCCCAUACACCGGAAUAGCUCCUGGAAACGGGUGGUAAUGCCGGAUGCUCCGACAUGACGCAUGUCGUGUCGGGAAAGAUUCAUCGGUAUGGGAUGGGGUCGCGUCCUAUCAGCUUGAUGGCGGGGUAACGGCCCACCAUGGCUUCGACGGGUAGCCGGCCUGAGAGGGCGACCGGCCACAUUGGGACUGAGAUACGGCCCAGACUCCUACGGGAGGCAGCAGUGGGGAAUAUUGCACAAUGGGCGCAAGCCUGAUGCAGCGACGCCGCGUGCGGGAUGACGGCCUUCGGGUUGUAAACCGCUUUUGACUGGGAGCAAGCCCUUCGGGGUGAGUGUACCUUUCGAAUAAGCACCGGCUAACUACGUGCCAGCAGCCGCGGUAAUACGUAGGGUGCAAGCGUUAUCCGGAAUUAUUGGGCGUAAAGGGCUCGUAGGCGGUUCGUCGCGUCCGGUGUGAAAGUCCAUCGCUUAACGGUGGAUCCGCGCCGGGUACGGGCGGGCUUGAGUGCGGUAGGGGAGACUGGAAUUCCCGGUGUAACGGUGGAAUGUGUAGAUAUCGGGAAGAACACCAAUGGCGAAGGCAGGUCUCUGGGCCGUCACUGACGCUGAGGAGCGAAAGCGUGGGGAGCGAACAGGAUUAGAUACCCUGGUAGUCCACGCCGUAAACGGUGGAUGCUGGAUGUGGGGACCAUUCCACGGUCUCCGUGUCGGAGCCAACGCGUUAAGCAUCCCGCCUGGGGAGUACGGCCGCAAGGCUAAAACUCAAAGAAAUUGAC
rnacentral:rRNA from 1 species